rnacentral:lncRNA from 1 species
CCCCUGAACCGGCUCACCGGUUUCAAUGCCUUCUGGUACUCCCACCACCUCUUCGUCAUCGUCUACAUCCUCCUAAUCAUCCACGGCAUCUUCCUUUACCUUUCCCAUCAAUGGUACAAGAAAACGGUAAGUAUAUUAUACCACAAGUACCUUAAUAAUUUUCUUCAUCUAAUGCCCUCCGAACAUUAAUUAAUCUUAUUUAAUUAAUGGCAGACCUGGAUGUACCUGGCGAUCCCGAUGAUCGUGUACGGGACCGAGAGGCUGAUCAGAGCGUUCAGAUCGAGCGUGCGGCCGGUGAAGAUACUGAAGGUGGCGGUGUACCCCG